rnacentral:rRNA from 1 species
CCCUUAGAUGUUCUGGGCCGCACGCGCGCUACACUGACACGUUCAUCAAGUCUAUAACCUUGACCGAGAGGUCUGGGUAAUCUUUUAAAAACGUGUCGUGCUGGGGAUAGAUUAUUGCAAUUAUUAAUCUUCAACGAGGAAUUCCUAGUAAACGCAAGUCAUCAACUUGCAUUGAUUACGUCCCUGCCCCUUGUACACACCGCCCGUCGCUACUACCGAUUGAAUGAUUUAGUGAGUACCAGGGACCGAGCGCUUUGGUUGGGUUUCCUUCCCUAGCGCUUGGGAACUGUCGCAAACUUGACCAUUUAGAGGAAGUAAAAGUCGUAACA